ensembl:lncRNA
AAAGUAGGAGAGGAACCCGUGAGAAGAGAAACGAGGGAUGGCUGACCAUGGGCAAAAUCGUGGGAAGAGAAGCCACCGUUUUAUUCCAACACUUGCUGAAGCUGGGAUGCAUCACCUGUUAUCCGCUGUGGUCCUCCUCAGGGACUACAGGUGUUCACUUCUCAUACGACAUGUUGCUCAAAGGAGGCCAGCUGGUCAGUGAUCAGGGAGAGGCUAUGACGUGAUGCUGAAGAAUAUCUUGAUGGCUGAAAUUAUGCCUAUAGUGGAGGAAUUUGACCAGCAGAAAAAUAAUGGUCACAGGUUUAUCUAAUUACCAUUCUUCAGCAACCAAGUAAUAACUGUGUUUGUUUGGGACCAGACCUGUGACAAUUCUUGAGGCCAUAACUGGUGAGGAUUCACCCUGAGACCGAAUAGUAAAUAUUUCCUUUCAGCCAUGAUCUAUUGGAAAUAGUAAACGUGUAGACCCUUAUCCGUGAACUCCAACAAUACUUAGAUUACAAAGGGAAGACCUAGAGACUUGCAUAAUGUGUACUGUGAAAACUGAUAUGUAGGCUUACAACUGUGAAAUGAUUGUCUA